AUCAGCUCUCAAAAUUUACCUGUAAGUCGACGAUGACCCACUUCGGUGGGGGAUUAGUGGCGAACGGGUGAGUAACACGUGGGCAAUCUGCCCUGCACUCUGGGACAAGCCCUGGAAACGGGGUCUAAUACCGGAUACGACCACUUCAGGCAUCUGAUGGUGGUGGAAAGCUCCGGCGGUGCAGGAUGAGCCCGCGGCCUAUCAGCUUGUUGGUGAGGUAACGGCUCACCAAGGCGACGACGGGUAGCCGGMMKGAGAGRSCGGACCGGCMWCAYYGGRACUGGAAGACCACGKSCMAGACUCCCUAACKGGAGGCAGCAGUGGGGRAWAUAUGCACCAAUUGGGCGAAAGCCUGAAUGCAGCGACGCCCGCGUGGAAGGGAUGACGGCCUUCGGGUKGUAAACCUCUUUCAGCARGGAAGAAGCGAAAGUGACGGUACCUGCAGAAGAAGCGCCGGCUAACUACGUGCCAGCAGCCGCGGUAAUACGUAGGGCGCAAGCGUUGUCCGGAAUUAAUUGGGCGUAAAGAGCUCGUAGGCGGCUUGUCGCGUCGGAUGUGAAAGCCCGGGGCUUAACCCCGGGUCUGCAUUCGAUACGGGCAGGCUAGAGUUCGGUAGGGGAGAUCGGAAUUCCUGGUGUAGCGGUGAAAUGCGCAGAUAUCAGGAGGAACACCGGUGGCGAAGGCGGAUCUCUGGGCCGAUACUGACGCUGAGGAGCGAAAGCGUGGGGAGCGAACAGGAUUAGAUACCCUGGUAGUCCACGCCGUAAACGUUGGGAACUAGGUGUGGGCGACAUUCCACGUCGUCCGUGCCGCAGCUAACGCAUUAAGUUCCCCGCCUGGGGAGUACGGCCGCAAGGCUAAAACUCAAAGGAAUUGACGGGGGCCCGCACAAGCGGCGGAGCAUGUGGGCUUAAUUCGACGCAACGCGAAGAACCUUACCAAGGCUUGACAUACACCCGGAAACACYCAGAGAUGGGUGCCCCCCUUGUGGUCGGUGUACAAGGUGGGUGCAUGGCUGUCCGUCAGCUCGUGUCCGUGAGAUGUUGGGGUUAAGUCCCCGCAAACGAGCGCAACCCCUUUGUCCCGUGUUUGCCCAGCAGSCCCUUGGUGGUGCUGGGGGACUCCACGGGAGAACCCCGCCGGRGUCCAACCUCCGGAAGGAARGCUGGGGUACGAACGUUCUAAGGUCAUCAUUGCMCYUUAUGUCCUUGGGCUUGCACCACCGUGUCCUACAAUKGCCGRUACAARGAKMURCRAWACMRUGAGGWGGAGCGAAUCUCAAAAAGCCGGUCUCAGUUCGGAUUGGGGUCUGCAACUCGACCCCAUGAAGUCGGAGUCGCUAGUAAUCGCAGAUCAGCAUUGCUGCGGUGAAUACGUUCCCGGGCCUUGUACACACCGCCCGUCACGUCACGAAAGUCGGUAACACCCGAAGCCGGUGGCCCAACCCUGUGGAGAGCUACGAAUCUAAAGCGCCCA
rnacentral:rRNA from 1 species